rnacentral:lncRNA from 1 species
ACAUUCUUGUUUGCAUGGACUAAAAAGUUGCCUCCACUCAAAGAGUAGUACUUUCCUUACAGCGAAGACAAAUAAAAAAAAAAUCAGAAGCAUCCUCUCUUGUUUCCAUUGGCUAGAUGAAAGAUUAUUGCUUCCAACCAAAUAGAAAUGUAUCUGCAUCAAAAGAGAAAAUAGUUGUUAAUCACAAUUACAUUCAGAAUCCUAAGUACACACAUUCUGCAGCAGAUCCAUCUGAUGGGUAACAUAGUCAAGCACCAAAUCAAAGAUGCGACGGGGAGAGAGGGCUCAUCCUCCUAAUGUUGUGAUGACACACCUGCAGGUGGAGAGGAUAGUGUGAUGAGGAGGAGCUGGGGAACGGAUCUGGGUGGCGAGGUCGAUGUUCUGCUUGACGACGAGGUGAGAAGGAUGUAGCUCGUGAUCGCCGAUGUCGGGGAUGGCGGGGGAAAGGUUCCCUGCAAGGAGACGGGACAAGGUGAGAUUAGGUACGAGAGAGUAAUCAGGGAGGGAGUUAUUACGCGUGGAUAGUGCUGGUGAAUAGCUCCUCGGACUAUGGGAUAAGGCAUAUAUAUCAACAACCGUGGGAUUCUAAUAGAAUCAACCGCAAUGGAGAGGUAUGACGAUAGUCUGGUAUCAAACUAUAGAUAGAAAGUAUUUCCCUAGAUCUUUUGGAUGGGUUAGAUGCAUCUAACCAACUCUAACCAUCAUGUUUAGAUGUUUUAGGGUUAGUUGAGUCCAAUCUAAUCAACUCUAACUCUAGCCCAUGGAUCCAAACAGGGCCGUUGUGGUGCCGCAGCGAGAACACAAUGAAGUUGCGGUUGUGUUUGGUGAGAACGACGUGGGGGACAUUGCAUUGACCCAUCCAACGGCUAUGCAGCACGGGAUCAGUCGGUGGACGUUAGGGUAUGUGUUUGAAGACUGGAAUGAUGCUGACACAGCAUCUACUGUGUUUAGAGGAUCUGACCUGAUAGGGUUGCUUGCGCGAGGAGUUGAUGCUGACGCAGCGUCUAGUGUGCAUCUUUCUGCGGAGGGCAAGAACACUACGGCUACGGCGACGAAUCCGAAAGUCGGUGUGUUCUUUAUGAAACGGACGUGCACAAGCAAAUAUCAAAGACACUUUUGCCACCAAGACAGAAUCCACCACGAUCGGUUGAAAGUAGAUGACGAGCAGUACAUUAAAUAAUUUCACCCCGCAACACUAGUAGCAUUUUGCCUUGCCCUUCCGACGCCUCCUCACGUAAUGGAACCCAGAGGGAAACUCGUAAUGCCAAAGUAGUCAUAACGCCGUGGAAG